ACGGCGUCGAGCGGCGGACGGGUGAGUAAUGCCUAGGAAAUUGCCCUGAUGUGGGGGAUAACCAUUGGAAACGAUGGCUAAUACCGCAUGAUGCCUACGGGCCAAAGAGGGGGACCUUCGGGCCUCUCGCGUCAGGAUAUGCCUAGGUGGGAUUAGCUAGUUGGGGAGGUAAGGGCUCACCAAGGCGACGAUCCCUAGCUGGUCUGAGAGGAUGAUCAGCCACACUGGAACUGAGACACGGUCCAGACUCCUACGGGAGGCAGCAGUGGGGAAUAUUGCACAAUGGGCGCAAGCCUGAUGCAGCCAUGCCGCGUGUGUGAAGAAGGCCUUCGGGUUGUAAAGCACUUUCAGUCGUGAGGAAGGUAGUGUAGUUAAUAGCUGCAUUAUUUGACGUUAACGACAGAAGAAGCACCGGCUAACUCCGUGCCAGCAGCCGCGGUAAUACGGAGGGUGCGAGCGUUAAUCGGAAUUACUGGGCGUAAAGCGCAUGCAGGUGGUUUGUUAAGUCAGAUGUGAAAGCCCGGCGCUCA
rnacentral:rRNA from 1 species